AACUUGGUUUCUUUAGAAACCAUCCCUAAAAUUUUUAGAUCUACAU
rnacentral:ncRNA from 1 species